UGUAAGUUGAUGAAGAUCUGCACAGCAGUCUUCUCUUACCCACGGUUUCUCUUUCCACAGUUUCAGUUGCCAGCAGUCUAACCGCAGUCCUGGAUCCUACUACCGAGGUUUGGUCAGAAGAUGAAGAAAACCAAAUCUUGAAAAGAGAACAUGUGUUACCCAGAGUCAACUAGAAGAGCCAAGAUUCAAACCCAGGUCUCCAGCAUCUAACCGUCUGAGAUACAUGAAAUGAGGUUAAAAAGAAAAAAACAACUAUAGAUCACUUUUAAAGGAGAAAUGAAAUAACUAUCAAUGGAAGUUGUACAUGAUUUAUCAAAGAGGAAACAAAUCACGCUCACAACUGCCUAGAGUAUUCCAAUUAAAAUGAAGAUACAAGGAGGAUACAGCCCCACACCAACCGACAACAGAAAUUACUUCUCAUACUUUAAUUCUGGGAUGACUUUAAAGAAAUACUCAAAAGGCUGAGUCCACCGAGGAUGUUGCAGCAAUGUCGUAUGUGUCUUGAUUUCAAGAAAGCCAAACAUGGUGAAAAGCCAACCUUCACCUAAAUUACCUAAAGAAGCAAAUAUUCACCUCCUGGCUGAAGAUCAAACAAGAAUCACGAGAAGACCCAAAAGUUCGGUUGUUAGGUGAGGCCCUCAAACUCUCGGAAAACUAUGUUUCUACCAAUAGAAAUAUGGAAGAGAUUUCACAUUGUCGUUUAGAAAAGAGUAAAGGGACUAGAGACCAUAUAUGCCUAAGCAAUGAAACUAUGAUGACCAGAGAGGUAGCAAGGAGGAGCUGGGACUCAGGAAAAAUCAUCGAGGACUAAAACCUGAGUCGUUAGGUCGAACACUAAAGUAAACUGAGAACAGGAGGAAGCUGAAAGGCUAGGGAAGGGAGACCGAGAGUGGGCAGAGCCUGUG